rnacentral:rRNA from 1 species
GGUUAAGCGACUAAGCGUACACGGUGGAUGCCCUGGCAGUCAGAGGCGAUGAAGGACGUGCUAAUCUGCGAUAAGCGUCGGUGAGGUGAUAUGAACCGUUAUAACCGGCGAUUUCCGAAUGGGGAAACCCAGUGUGUUUCGACACACUAUCAUUAACUGAAUCCAUAGGUUAAUGAGGCGAACCGGGGGAACUGAAACAUCUAAGUACCCCGAGGAAAAGAAAUCAACCGAGAUUCCCCCAGUAGCGGCGAGCGAACGGGGAGGAGCCCAGAGCCUGAAUCAGUGUGUGUGUUAGUGGAAGCGUCUGGAAAGGCGUGCGAUACAGGGUGACAGCCCCGUACACAAAAAUGCACAUAUUGUGAGCUCGAUGAGUAGGGCGGGACACGUGGUAUCCUGUCUGAAUAUGGGGGGACCAUCCUCCAAGGCUAAAUACUCCUGACUGACCGAUAGUGAACCAGUACCGUGAGGGAAAGGCGAAAAGAACCCCGGCGAGGGGAGUGAAAAAGAACCUGAAACCGUGUACGUACAAGCAGUGGGAGCCUCUUAAUGGGGUGACUGCGUACCUUUUGUAUAAUGGGUCAGCGACUUAUAUUCUGUAGCAAGGUUAACCGAAUAGGGGAGCCGAAGGGAAACCGAGUCUUAACUGGGCGUUAAGUUGCAGGGUAUAGACCCGAAACCCGGUGAUCUAGCCAUGGGCAGGUUGAAGGUUGGGUAACACUAACUGGAGGACCGAACCGACUAAUGUUGAAAAAUUAGCGGAUGACUUGUGGCUGGGGGUGAAAGGCCAAUCAAACCGGGAGAUAGCUGGUUCUCCCCGAAAGCUAUUUAGGUAGCGCCUCGUGAAUUCAUCUCCGGGGGUAGAGCACUGUUUCGGCAAGGGGGUCAUCCCGACUUACCAACCCGAUGCAAACUGCGAAUACCGGAGAAUGUUAUCACGGGAGACACACGGCGGGUGCUAACGUCCGUCGUGAAGAGGGAAACAACCCAGACCGCCAGCUAAGGUCCCAAAGUCAUGGUUAAGUGGGAAACGAUGUGGGAAGGCCCAGACAGCCAGGAUGUUGGCUUAGAAGCAGCCAUCAUUUAAAGAAAGCGUAAUAGCUCACUGGUCGAGUCGGCCUGCGCGGAAGAUGUAACGGGGCUAAACCAUGCACCGAAGCUGCGGCAGCGACACUAUGUGUUGUUGGGUAGGGGAGCGUUCUGUAAGCCUGUGAAGGUGGCCUGUGAGGGUUGCUGGAGGUAUCAGAAGUGCGAAUGCUGACAUAAGUAACGAUAAAGCGGGUGAAAAGCCCGCUCGCCGGAAGACCAAGGGUUCCUGUCCAACGUUAAUCGGGGCAGGGUGAGUCGACCCCUAAGGCGAGGCCGAAAGGCGUAGUCGAUGGGAAACAGGUUAAUAUUCCUGUACUUGGUGUUACUGCGAAGGGGGGACGGAGAAGGCUAUGUUGGCCGGGCGACGGUUGUCCCGGUUUAAGCGUGUAGGCUGGUUUUCCAGGCAAAUCCGGAAAACCAAGGCUGAGGCGUGAUGACGAGGCACUACGGUGCUGAAGCGACAAAUGCCCUGCUUCCAGGAAAAGCCUCUAAGCAUCAGGUAACAUCAAAUCGUACCCCAAACCGACACAGGUGGUCAGGUAGAGAAUACCAAGGCGCUUGAGAGAACUCG